rnacentral:misc_RNA from 1 species
AACCUUUGCUGUCUUGGGACGGAUCACCGCUGCAAGAGGGGAAGUUGCUACUGUGAUGAAUUCUGCCAUGUGGCACCAGACUGCCACCCAGACCACAGUGUCCUCUGCAACCCUGCUUCUCAGAUGACCAAGAUGGUGCUGCAGAUGGUGCUGAGGAUGGAGAACCCACCAAGCCCCGCUAGGAGCCACCUAGACUGGAUGCAGAGCAUGAUUUGAAGAUUGUACCAGGAGAGCCGCAGUGUUCCAGAGCUACUGAGGGGGCUGGGCUGGGAUUUGCUGUAUUCGAGAAGACCCCCUUGGACCCGAGAGGCUGUGGGCUUGGGGAGCAUGAGGAGGUUUCACAGCAGAAAGGACACCCCGGGGCUCCUGGAUAAGCCAGAAAAUGUGCCAGGGGAAGUCGGGCUCCAAGGGCACCACUCUGGGCUUCCAGCUGUGUGGGCUGGACCAAGAAGGCUCAGAGAAAUGAUCUCAGGCUUGAAGUGGGGAGAAGAAACUGUAUUAUGAAGGCAGACGAACAGUUCCUGCAAAGCCCCAGCACCCGCAGAGCAGACACUGCGAUGACAACGGACGACACAGAAGUGCCCGCUAUGACUCUAGCACCGGGCCACGCCGCUCUGGAAACUCAAACGCUGAGCGCUGAGACCUCUUC